UUUUUUUUUUUUUUUUUUUUUUUUGUUUUGUUUUGUUUUGUUUUUCUUUUUUUCGGAGCUGGGGACCGAACCCAGGGCCUUGUGCUUCCUAGGCAAGUGCUCUACCACUGAGCUAAAUCCCCAAGCCGUCUGCUCUGCUUCUUACCAGUGCCUCCACACCCUCUGUUCCUCCUGAUGCUCACCUUAGCGCUAGCCAUUGCUUUGCUGACACAGCUCCCUCAUGAAGUGCCCAGUGGCCAUGCACAAACACGGUGAGCCUCCCUCUCCUGGGUCCUGUAGGCCUGAACGCUCGUCUCCAUCCUUGCACGAUUCUCAUGUGGGUGGUUGCUGUUUUAAGCACUGAGAUCUGCCUUGUCUGCUUGUGUCCACACAGAGGCCAGCGCUUGGCCUGAUGUGUGCAGAAGUGGUUCCCUGCCUAGAGGGAGUAAGUGGGCCAAGCCCAGUGAACACAGGCCCUGAGCCUCGGUGGAGCCUUGCAAAUACAGGCCCUAGGCCUGGCCCUGUUGUCAGCCAACUUGGCUCACCUCUUCUGCUCCUCAGACCUCAGUGGAUGCCCCGGGAGGAUGAAACUGAGGUGGAGGAACACCUAAGCAGCCAGACAUGGCUUGGCCUUGAUCUUUUGACUGGGCAGGAAUGAACGCAACCCCCAGUUUUCUUCCUUUCAAAAUGCCCUUUAGAAGAGAGGGAGUCGUCUCUUGCAGCGAGCUUUGACAAAGCGCUCCAGUUCUUGAGAAUCUCUCAAUCGCUUUUAUAUCAGACAACAAAGAAACGUUUGGGGGAUGUACAUUAGUUUAAAGCCACCUCAAACAUCACGGGUUUAGAAUUCUUAAAGAGAUAAUCUGACAGAAUCUGUAAGGGAGGGGGGAAAGGCAGAGACUUUUUUUUUUUUUAUACACAGAUUUAGCAAUUCUUCCUCGGGCUAUGACCUCGAAUUACAAGUGCUGGAUGUCAUGGCAAAUAAGCCUUUAAAACCCUGCCUGAAAAGCAACGCUUCACGGCUCUUUUGUGGAGGGCACGGAGGCGCACACACCCAGAGCAGGCACACAAUCCGGUCUGUGCUCCUGUCAUGCAAAUGGGGAUGUGGGUCUGUUUGCAGCCUGUUGGCAGCCUCCUUACAACGUGGGAGCUUGAAGCCCUGAUGUCAGCAUGCCCCAAGAGAGAGGUGGGAGAGGGUCUGGAAAACGGGCUGAUUGUCUGUUGCACCGGAUGCUAAACCCAGAAGUUAAGGACCGAAUUAGAGCCUUUUCGGGUGGUGAAUAUGAGACUUUUUUUAUAUGAAUAUAUUAUGAGAUUAUAAACGACUGCAUCUAAAUUACAUGCCUAUUAGUGUAUUCACUAAGCAGACAUUUGCCUGGCUUAGCUCACUCUCCAAAGCUUUGCAUGUACCGGGUCCAACCGCUUUUUUUUUGGGGUUGCCUUUUGACCUAGGAGUGCAGGAUGCGUUCGGAAGACUCAGCCAGGACUUUGAAAGCCCCCAAAAAACUGGCAGUUGGCCGAAAGCUUCCGAGUCCGGUUGGAAAUAGAUUUUGAAAUAUUUACCCAUCUUGGACUUAUCUUCUUAUUCCGAGGAAGAUGAAAGAGAAACAAUGCCCUCUCUAAAAGUUUUAAAAGUGGGGGAGGACCCAAAGCCAAUUGCUCUAAACCCAGUCAUGAUUUUUAGGCCUCUUCUCCCUCUCUCGCCCAUCUCUCUCUCUGCUUUCUUUCCUUCUGGGGGUCAAUUAAUCAGCCUGGUUCCUUUCUUUUGCACAGAUGGAUCUACCAUGAAGCACACGUUGUUCCACAAACGGCGUCUAAAUUAUGCUUUUCCUCCUGUUUGCAACAUAGGGAUCGCCACUGUGUCUGUGCCGCAGAGAACUGAGUUUGAGAACUUGUCCAGACCUAGGGACUUGGGAGGCAGCUAGGACUAAGACCCAGGCCUGACCUGGUAACCUUGGCCUUGUCCUGGCUUUCAGAAACAUUUUUCUACUGUUUACAGAAAGUGAUGGUAUCAGAAUGGCAGGAGGGCCCAGCAAGGAACUGAAACUUGAUUCCUUUGUCACUACCUGCUGUGAGUGGACCUGCAAGAAGAUGCUGCUUCUGGAACUCUAUGAGAUGGUUCUUUCUGGCCACUCAGCUCACAUGUCACUCCACAGAGGCGUGAGUCUAACGUUGUUACUGUCUCCUAUAUCAAGCCGCCGUCUUCAAACACUAAGAGAUCGUCACGAUCCAGUGAGGUGCUCGCAUCAGAGUUGAGUGCCUGUCAUCCCCAAGAAGAGCAAAGUGCUUGUUGCUCUUGGUCCCGAGCAGACACCAGAGCAAGAGUUGGCAUAGAAGGGCCCCGGUGAGGAAACGCAUUGGAAGAGUGAGUGCAUGGAUUAAAAAAUGCAGUGUGCCAGGAAGGGCCUGGGCCACUGGGUCCUUCCAGCUGCUUCUCUGGAGAGCAGAAAAGGGGGUGGGGGUGCUUGACUUGCUCACAACAUGUUUUGGGGUUUGCCUAGGAUGUGUUAUGAAUCAGUGCCAGGGAUUGCCCAUCCCUUGUGCUCUGACCCAGUCAAAUAUUUUGCUUGUAAAGCUAUUAAAGAGGUAGAGAUAACGGC